rnacentral:rRNA from 1 species
GAUGAACGCUGGCGGCGUGCCUAAUACAUGCAAGUCGAGCGAACAGACGAGGAGCUUGCUCCUCUGACGUUAGCGGCGGACGGGUGAGUAACACGUGGAUAACCUACCUAUAAGACUGGGAUAACUUCGGGAAACCGGAGCUAAUACCGGAUAAUAUAUUGAACCGCAUGGUUCAAUAGUGAAAGACGGUUUUGCUGUCACUUAUAGAUGGAUCCGCGCCGCAUUAGCUAGUUGGUAAGGUAACGGCUUACCAAGGCGACGAUGCGUAGCCGACCUGAGAGGGUGAUCGGCCACACUGGAACUGAGACACGCUCCAGACUCCUACGGGAGGCAGCAGUAGGGAAUCUUCCGCAAUGGGCGAAAACCUGACGGAGCAACGCCGCGUGAGUGAUGAAGGUCUUCGGAUCGUAAAACUCUGUUAUUAGGGAAGAACAAAUGUGUAAGUAACUAUGCACGUCUUGACGGUACCUAAUCAGAAAGCCACGGCUAACUACGUG